rnacentral:rRNA from 1 species
GACGAACGCUGGCGGCGUGCUUAACACAUGCAAGUCGAACGCAGAAGCACCAGCUUUCUGGCGUGGAUGAGUGGCGCACGGGUGAGUAAUACGUGAGUAACCUGCCCUUGACUCUGGGAUAAGCCCUGGAAACUGGGUCUAAUACUGGAUGCUACAUGUCACCGCAUGGUGGUGUGUGGAAAGGGUUUGCUCGUCUUGGAUGGGCUCACGGCCUAUCGGCUUGUUGGGGAGGUAAUGGGUUACCAACGUGACGACGGGAAGCCGGCCUGAGGGGGUGACCGGCGACACUGGGACUGAGGGACGGCACAGGCAGCUAAGGGAGGGAGAAGUGGGGAAGAUUGCAGGAUCGGCGAAGGGCUGAUGCAGCGGGGCCGCGUGAGGGAAGACUGCCUUCGGGUUGAAAACCACAUGCGGCAGGGAAGAAGCCAGUAGUGACGGUACCUACAGAAGAAGCGCCGGCUAACUACGUG